GCCCUCUUAGCUCAGUGGUAGUAGCGCUUCACUCGUAUGUUUAACGCGAUGAAGAGGUCAGUCGUUCAAUCCGGCUAGCGGGCA